rnacentral:piRNA from 1 species
AGGGUUUGCCUGCAUACCUCCGCCUGCUCCC